rnacentral:rRNA from 1 species
UACGUAGGGUGCGAGCGUUGUCCGGAAUUAUUGGGCGUAAAGGGCUCGUAGGCGGUCUGCCGCGUCGGGAGUGAAAACUCAGGGCUUAACCCUGAGCCUGCUUCCGAUACGGGCAGACUAGAGGUAUGCAGGGGAGAACGGAAUUCCUGGUGUAGCGGUGAAAUGCGCAGAUAUCAGGAGGAACACCGGUGGCGAAGGCGGUUCUCUGGGCAUUACCUGACGCUGAGGAGCGAAAGUGUGGGGAGCGAACAGG